rnacentral:lncRNA from 10 species
CGCGCAGCGACCAGCUCCGGCCGCCCGAGCUCCUCCCUCCCCAAACUUCGCAGGUUACGUCAGCGGCGGACGGCAAGGCGGGGAGAGGGGCAGCCCGCUCGCGGCCCUCCCGCCUGGCUCUCGCCUCGGCCUGCGGCCGGGAUCCUCCGCCCGGGUCGCGCAGCGGAGGCCGAGGGCUGGGACGGGCGGCUGGGAAGUGGGAAAGGGAGCUCCUUUUGUCUUCUCUUCCCAUCCCCCAGGUUUGGGAAAGUUUUCCUUUUGGGAAAGCCCCUCUCUUCAGCCUGCUGGCGGGUGUCGGAUUGGUUAGCGACCACCGGCCCCCGCCUCCCCCAACAGGAUUCUCCUUUGGGCCACAGGUCUUCCGGAAGUUGCCAAACCCCGGUAGCGGCAGCGUCCGGCUGGGGGCUUUAUUAGGGGGCACCGGGGUCUGCUUUCCGACUCCCUUCCGACUCCGCGCCUGCGCAGGAAGCGAUUUGGGGAGUGUUGUGAAUUCCGAGGGCUCCACACUUAAGAGGUUGUACACUCACCUGUCUACCUGGACUCCAAUUUCCAUAUUUCCAGCCACUUGAGGACUGAGAGGUGGAUGAUAAACCCUGUCAUAGUGGAGCAAGUUCAGGUGUUUAACCGCUGUUAUGGGGGAUCUGCCUUUUCUCCCUCUUCUUUCUUACUUCCAUAAGUAUGUAUGUGCAGAGAUUGAAAAAUAACCUUGAGAGAGUCCAUCCAUCUAACUCCAGGCUGGAGUGCAGUGGCGUGAUUUUGGCUCACUGUAUCCUUCGCCUCCCUGGCUCAAGUGAUUCUCCUGCCUCAGCCUCCCAAGUAGCUUGGAUUACAGAGGUUGUUGGCUUCCAUCAGGGGUGGUCAUUUCCAAUCAGACACCUAAGAACUCCUGCUAAUGGGCAAUGAUGGAGGCACAUUCUAGAUGGAGGCACAUUCUAGAAACGCUUGAAACUGUGUGUUGCUUUGGACAGCUGUUUCAGGAAACAUUGCAGCGUUAUAAGAGAAAUUAUAGACUAUUUGUUGAAGCUCAGCAUGUCCAUCUCCCUGCUUUGAAGAAGGAUGUUGGGAACUGACUGUAAGGAAGACAGGAUUGGAGAACCAGGUUUAGAAGAGAAAAGGCAGUGCCAGAAGUUUUUGAUUGGAGAAAACUACAGGGUAAUGUUGCACAAGAACCAUUGCUGGACUGCAUCAUUGCUUACCCAACAUGACUCAGCCUCGGUAUUGCCACUGACUCACGGAGCUCCUAAUAGAGGAGAAUUAGUGUCACAGAUCGACUGGAAAACCAAUCCACAUGAAGCCAGGAAGAGAAAUGAAGCUGCUGUUGCUGAAUCCAUAGCUGGCCUUAAUGAUGCUGGCUAGGAAAGACGGCCCAUUCUGGGGGAGAUAAGUCAAUUUUGCAGUGUCUGUUAUUAUCAUAGUGACUAUUGUCUUCCUGUUUUAUAUUUAUUUACCUAAAUUGUUUUGGAAAGACUCAGAGGUAUAGAGACAUGCCUACUUUUUGCAAAAAUCAUCACACUGUCAUGGAGGUAGUCCAGGCUAUGGGGCUCUUAUUUGUUGGUGUCUUGGGCAAGUUGCUUGACCUCUGAUCAUUGUUUGCUUAUUCUUAUAUGGCCCCUGUAUUUCAGACUCACUCUGUGUCAGGCAUUUGUUUACCUUUGUAGCAAGCUCAGGAGGAAAAUACCAUUGCCCUUGUUUUACAGGUGAUGAAACUGUACGUUUUCCAAGGACACAGUGCUAGUAAGUAAUGAAUGUGAAAUUUUAACUGUUUCAAUCUCUUCUCAGAGCCAGUGCUAACUACUCUCCUAAACUUCCUCUCAUCUGUAAAAUAUGGAUGAUAAUAACACCUCUUACAGAGUUGUUGUACAUAUUAAAUAAUAGAACUGUGAAAUGUGUAGUACUUCAUUACGCAUUAGGCAAUCAAUAAAUGGUUGAUAGUAUUACUAAAAAUAAUGAAGAAAAAUCUUCACUAAAGCAUCCAUAGCAGGAAGUCCUUGCUAGAACAUAA